rnacentral:lncRNA from 1 species
AUGACCCAGCGCUGUGCUGACCGCUACGCUGCAGAGGACACGCGUGCUGGGGGGCUUGCCUGGGCCAGGACUUCAGUUGCAAACGGUGAGGGAAGCCUUGCCUGGCCAGGGGCAGCCUCUGCUUGCAAACAGAUGGGGAGAGAGGCAGGGUGGGCUCGAGUCUCCUCUGGCGGAUCCCAUCCACCCAGGUUCAGACUUGAGAGACUGGCACCCCGAGCUCUCCUCCCUGCCCGCCUGGGUAUCCCCCGUGAUCAGCUGCUCCCCGCCCAGCAGAGGCCGGAAUUCACCAGCGACACCUCCCCCUCCGAUUCCCAGCCAGUGCUGCUCCGCCGGCCAGGACCUUUCCUGUGAGUUGUUGAGAGGCUCAGCAGCAGCCUCGGGCAUUGAGACCUGAAAUGGGGAGCAAAUGACCUGGUCCAGGCCCUUCGUGUUACAGGUGAAGGAAUGGCGCCCACAGAGAGUUUAAGAUGUGUGUUCAGGAUCACAUUCUGAAUUGGGAAACAGGACAGCUAUUUCUCCUCUUGAUAAAUGCUGCAGGUAAACUGUAAAGAAAGCAUGCCAGACAGUAAGCACAUUUAUGAAGGGGCUUCAAACCUCUGCAGCGUGGCGCAGAUAGAGGCGGUUCAUCCAAAUAGAUGGUAGUUAAGAAUAAGAAGUACCAGAUGAAUUGACAUCAUACAGCACUGGUGCUGACAUUGGUAAUGUUUGCUGCACACUAGAACUUUACCUUUAUUGCUUUAUUAAGUCCACACAUUUGUUUUAAGAUGUAUUUACUAUUAUCCUUUUUUUUUUUUUUUUUGGCAGAGGGCUUCCCUGAUAGCUCAGUUGGUAAAGAAUCCACCUUCAAUGCAGGAGACUCCAGUUCAAAUCCUAGGUCGGAAAGAUCUGCUGGAAAAGGGAUAGGCUACCCACUCCAGUACUCUUGGGCUUCCCUUGUGGCUCAGCUGGUAAAGAAUCCACCUGCAAUUUGGGAGACCUGGGUUCAAUCCCUGGGUUGGGAAGAUCCCCUGGAGAAGGGAAAGGCUUCCCUCUCCAGUGUUCUGGCCUGGAGAAUUCCAUGGACUGUAUAGUCCACAGGAUUGUAAAGAGUUCGACACAACUGAGUGACUUUCACAUUCACAUUUUUUGUUUUUGCAGAAGCAGCAGGUGAGGCUUAUAGGGUAACUGGCUCUAGUCAUUUGGCUCCUAAGAAGCAGGAAAAAGGAAUGGAAUCUAAGUCAGUUUAGUUCCAAAGCCUAGGCCUUUGCCAUAUUCCAAACAGUGUUAAAUGCAAAAGUUCUCAAUUAUUGAAAUAAAUGUUAACAUUCACCCAUUUUUCUGAGGUUAUUGUUCACUGUUUUACUGUCCCUUUCCUGUAGUGCCCUUUUUUUUGUUUGUUUUUAACCAAGAGACUUUUAGGCAGACUACAGUGAUAUAUUCUUUCACAGUAUUUAUGUUUCUAAUGAUAGGAAAAAAUAGUGGCUUGUGUUGGGGGAUUAACAGGAAUUUGAGGGACUUCCCUGGUGAUCCAGUGGUUAAGAAUCUGCCAUGUAAUACAAGAGACUCAGGUUUGAAAUCUGGUCACGGAACUAAGAUCUACAUUUUGUUGUUCAGUUGCUGAGUCAUGCCUGACUCUUUGUGACCACGUGCACCACAACAUGCCAGGCUUCUCUGUUCUCCAGUCUCUCUGUGUCCAUUGAGUCAGUGAUGCCAGUGAACCAUCUCAUCCUCUGUUGUCCUCUUCUCCUCCUGCCCUUAAUCUUUCCCAGCAUCAGGGUCUUUUCCAAUGAGUUGGCUCUUCACAUCAGGUGAAGUAUUGGAGCUUCAGCUUCCAAUGAAUAUUCAAGGUUGAUAUCCUUUAGGAUGGACUGGUUUGAUGUCCUUGCAGUCUAAGGGACUCAAGAGUCUUCUCCAGCACAAUUGGAAAGCAUCAACUCUUCAGCGCUCAGCCUUCUUUGUGGUCCAAUUCUCACAUCUUUACAUGACCACUGGAAAAACCAUAGCUUUGACUGUAUAGACCUUUGUCAGCAAAGUGAUGUCUCUGCUUUUUAAUAAGCUGUCAUAGCUUUUCUUCCAAGGAGCAAGCAUCUUUUAAUUUCAUGCUUGUAGUCACCGUCUGCAGUGAAUUUUGGAGCCCAGGAAAAUAAAAAUAAAAAAAAUAAAAUCUGUUACUGCUUCCACUUUUCCCCCUUCUAUUUGUCAUGAAGUAAUGGGACUGGAUGCCAUGAUCUUAGGUUUUUAAUGGUGAGUUUCAAGCCAGUUUUUUCACUCUCACUUUUCUUCUCUUUCACUUUCAGCAAGAGGCUCCUUAGUUCCUCUUCACUUUCUGCCAGAAGUGUGGUGUCAUCUGCAUAUCAGAGGUUGUUGCUGUUUCUCCCAGCAAUCUUGAUUCCAGCUUGUGCUUCACCCAGCCCAGCAUUUCACAUGAUGUACUCUGCAUAGAAGUAAAAUAAGCAGAGUGACAAUACACCACCUUGAUGUACUCCCUUCCCAAUUUUGAACCAGUUCAUUGUUCAUGCCUGAUUCUUAGCUGUUGCUUAUUGACCUGCAUACAAGUUUCUCAGGAGGCAGGUAAAGUGGCCGCAUACUCCCAUCUCUUGAAGAAUUUUCCACAGUUCACUGUGAUCCACACAGUCAAAGGUCCCACAGGCCCAGAAACAACUAAGCCCAAACACAAACUGCUGAGUCAGCAGCAACCAGAGAGUCCUUGUGCCUCAGCCAACACCCUGUGCAGCCAAAUAAAUAAAAGCCAUGACUUUGGGAAUAUUGUUGCCCUUUGCUGUAUCUAAGGGUAAAAGUACACCUGCUUCUCUUUCAGGGCAAGCUUUAUGAAAUGAGUUGGUCAUUCUAAAUGUUUCUCUAUGACUUGCCCUGGCUUCAGUGUCCACGUUUGAAAAACUACCCCAGAACUGAGUUUAUAAGUUUAGCUCUGAAUGUUCAAAAUGCUUUCGAUUAGCACAUCUUAAAUAUCUUCUUUCAGCAAAUAACUAAUCAUGGUCUGACUACUGUAUUCCAUAACAUAAAUCCUAAACAAUAGUGUUAGUAAUUGUUGUAAUUAAAGAUGGAUGAGUCAGGCUUCAUUUGGGAUUUAUAAAAAUACCUCCAGCUAUUUUUCAAACAUUUUGAAAUACAUUUUAUAACAUUUCUAAAACAUACUUCAACAAGAAUAUUUCCUCUAAUUUUAAAGCCCUAGUGUAUUUUAAAGGGAAUAUAAUUCACAUUUCUGAUUCAUUGGUGCGUAACUCAUCACUGUUAUUUUUAAAGAACAAUUUAGAGGACUUCCCUGGCGGUCCAGUGAUUUAAGAAUCUGCCUCCCAAUGUAGGGCACGGGAGUUCGAUCCCUGGUCAGGAAACUAAGAUUCCCACAUGCUGCAAUUAAGACCCAAUGCAGCCAAAAAUAAUUUUUAAAAAUUUAGUUUCCAAGUCCUUAGGAAACCCUUCUCAUAAAUUCUGUGAGCCUUUAAAAGCCUUUUCCGUAAUCAAACUAUUUUCUCCAAGAUGAACGUGUGUGCAGUGUUUUAGUUUGGUUUAUAAUGCAGAGCCUAUAUUUCAGAAUCUAAGUUCACUCUGAAUUUCGUGUAAUAAGUUGUUCUGCCUUUAUUGUAAGAACUCGCUUCAUUUAUGUCUCUUCAAAGCACGUUUCUGUGAAGAACUGGUGAUCGAAGUACUCUCUUGAAAACCCAGCGCGCUGACAUUCCGAGCUGUCUCCCGGAGUCACAGCACAGGGAACAGGUGUGGGUUGAUCAAACAGAGCAAGCCCAAUUAGCUAUUGAUUGGGGAUCUGUCAUGUCUGCUGAAUAUGUAUACACAUUUGUACAUAUUCAAAUACACAUGUACACAUUCAUAAGAAUGUUCACAUCCUCAUAGGUUGUCUUUUUUGUUUUGUUUGGACCUCUAAAUUCUAACAAAACAGUAUUCUACUCUGGGUUAAAUUGAUAAUUUAUUGUGUGAUGACUGUAAUUGUUCUCAUCUGUCUUCAGGAAUGUUUUCCACCUGAGAUUUAGUUCAACAGGUUUCUGUUGCCUAGCAGUGGGUCUCUCAGAACAGCUUUUUGUAUAGUUUUAAUUGAACGGAUUGACUGUGUGAAAUUGUCUUAGAAAAAGUAAGGUUAUUGCUGGGAAGGUAAAAGGAAGUACGCUGACAACUAAUUGGACAAAAUGUCAUCCCGAACAGCGGCUCUAAGAGAUUUGUAGAGACACAGCAACUUAAGAAUGGAGUUUGCUCAAGGCAGCUAGAAACUGCAUCCAUAAAUAUUCACAGUAAAAGAAAAGCACCAUUUUCCUAGGUUCUCAUUAGAGAAUGGUAUGAAAUACAUAUUUGCAAAUCAUAAGAAGCAACCUCUUUAGUUACUAUUCUUAAUGAAACCUCAUUUCACCCUGAAUUUUUCAGUGUGGGAUUAUUAAACAAUGAGAACAUCUUUUCAGUACUUUUCAAAAUAUACCUAUUUCUUACAUAGUUGGUUAGUUUAUACUAUAAGUUAAUUUUUAAUAUUUUUGGACAGUCUUUUAUGAUUAGAUAAGUUCCUUUUAAAAUUUAAUACCUGUACUAUCAAGGGUGAAACAGAUCACCAGCCCAGGUUGGAUGCAUGAAACAAGUGCUCAGGGCUGGUGCACUGGGAAGACCCAGUGGGAUGGGAUGGAGAGGGAGGCAGGAGGGGGGAUCGGGAUGGGGAACACAUGUAAAUCCAUGACUGAUUCAUGUCAAUAUAUGGCAAAAACCACUACAAUAUUGUAAAGUAGUUAGCCUUCAACUAAUAAAAAUAAAAUUGCAGCCUAUACUAAAAAAAAAAUAAAAAUAGAAAGCUAUCUUAAAAAAUAAAAAUAAAAUUUAAUACCUGAAUUUUUC